rfam:Manacus vitellinus contig36060, whole genome shotgun sequence.
GGGGAAUUACCUCAAAUGGUAGAGUGCUUGCUUAGCAUGUAAAAGGUAGCGGGAUCUAUGCCCGCAUUCUCCA